AGAGUUUGAUCAUGGCUCAGGAUGAACGCUAGCUACAGGCUUAACACAUGCAAGUCGAGGGGCAGCAUGUUGGUUGCUUGCAACCAAUGAUGGCGACCGGCGCACGGGUGAGUAACGCGUAUCCAACCUACCCUUGUCCAUCGGAUAACCCGUCGAAAGGCGGCCUAACACGAUAUGCGGUUCUCAGCAGGCAUCUAACGAGAACGAAAUGUGAAGGAGAAGGAUGGGGAUGCGUCUGAUUAGCUUGUUGGCGGGGUAACGGCCUACCAAGGCGACGAUCAGUAGGGGUUCUGAGAGGAAGGUCCCCCANAUUGGAACUGAGACACGGUCCAAACUCCUACGGGAGCA
rnacentral:rRNA from 1 species